UACGGAGGGUGCGAGCGUUGUCCGGAAUCACUGGGCGAUAAAGGGCGCGUAGGCGGUCUGCUAAGCGUGCCGGUGAAAGCCUGGGGCUCAACCCCGAGUCGGCCGUGCGAACUGAGUCGCUUAGAGCACUGUAGACGGCAGGCGGAAUUCCUGGUGUAGCGGUGAAAUGCGCAGAUAUCAGGAGAACGACCGGUGGCGAAGGCGGUCUCUGGGCCUUACCUGACGCUGAGGAGCGAAAGCGUGGGGAGCAAACAGG
rnacentral:rRNA from 1 species